CAAUAGCGUAUAUUAAAGUUGUUGCAGUUAAAAAGCUCGUAGUUGAAAUUCUGGACGUCCGAGUCUCUAGUCUUUAGGCGGGGAUGUCGGCGUUCAUCCGCUUGCAAGCAUACGUUCGCCCUUAACCAGGCGGCUAUGUGAGUAAGCAUUUUACCUUGAGAAAAACAGAGUGUUCCAGGCAGGUUUGUCCGGGAUGCAUUAGCAUGGAAUAAUAGAACAUGACUGAAGUCAAGUUAUUGGUUGUAGACUUUAGUAAUGAUUAAUAGGAACAGUCGGGGGCAUUCGUACUCAGCAGUCAGAGGUGAAAUUCUAAGAUUUGCUGAAGACGAACUAAUGCGAAAGCAUUUGCCAAGGGUGUUUNCAUUAA
rnacentral:rRNA from 1 species